rnacentral:rRNA from 1 species
UACGUAGGGUGCAAGCGUUAAUCGGAAUUAUUGGGCGUAAAGCGUGCGCAGGCGGUUUUGUAAGUCUGUCGUGAAAUCCCCGGGCUUAACCUGGGAAUGGCGAUGGAGACUGCAAGGCUAGAGUUUGGCAGAGGGGGGUAGAAUUCCACGUGUAGCAGUGAAAUGCGUAGAGAUGUGGAGGAACACCGAUGGCGAAGGCAGCCCCCUGGGUCAAAACUGACGCUCAUGCACGGAAGCGUGGGGAGCAAACAGG